GUACUGAUAUAAAUUUCCUAAGCUAGAUAUUAAAUCCUAGAGUAAAGCAAUAGUGCAUAUUAUUACCCACCCCCAAAAAAAGAGAUGAAAAUAAGUGGAGUGGUAAAGGGACAAAGCAGACAUUCUGGUCCUGUGUUUCUUUUCUUUUCCAGCAGACUCAAUGAAACUCCCUGCUGUUAUUUCUGGCACCUCCAAAUAGAAAACCAGGGUUUUCAAAACCACCAUCUUUCAUUUAACAUCUUUCAUAUUAACAGAAGUUAAUAGGAAAUUUCUUUUCAAUGGCUUUGGUAAGAAAAACAUUAGCACAGAAUGUGUACUUUGAAAGUCCUGUUGAAAAACAAAGAAGCCACAAACUAAGCCAGCCUACAAUGAAGGCAAUGUACAUCAUUGCCUAGUUGGGUAAACCUGUCUGCCUGAGCUUAUCUCUGAUAGCUCAAAUGCUAAUUUGAGGAAAGUCUUACAGACCAGUUUAUGCAAUCAAACCUUUGUCCUUUUCAGCUGAUCACCUGUGCUCAUUCAAGGUGCAGUUUGUAAGGCAAGUCAUGCAUUCAAAAGCAGUCUGUUUUUUCUAUUUAACAGCUACCCAGCUCUUUUGAACCCUGGGCACACGGUGGAGAUUUUAAUUUGGUUUUGCCUUUUGGAUGACAAUAAAAAUGAAACUGAGAGUUUUCCUGCUGGUAUCCUGAGAACUGUGGAGGUUGGCAAGUUCCUGGGUGAUGGUGUGCUGCAGCCGACCUCUAGUGGAGCUCAGGGAGACACCAAAAUAAGGCAGGAAAACUCGAGAAAAUGCACAAAAAAUGCUAGUGAGAGCUGAGAGAACAAAGGCACAUCCUCAAAACCAAGAUACUGAAAAUAUGAAUGUGAGCACUUACUAGAGCUUAGUGGGUGUGAAUUGAGCCUUUCUGCUGCUUCCUGUCAAGAGCAAAAAUAACAGUCUUAUUUUCUGUGAUGCAAAACACUGACUCGUAAUAAAUGGAACUUUCUUCCAUGCUUUUAAAGACCUUUUUUUCUUUAACUUUUUUAUUUUUAUUUUUUUUCCUUUACCAUUGGGAAGCACAUUUCAGUUACCAGGGAAAAGAGGUCAAAUCUUAUCAGUGAGUUAGUGAUAUUCUUGAGGUUAUAGUCAAUAUCAGAGUGAGAAUGCAGAAGCUGGAACUGAGGUUUCAGCUCCUUGGUUUCAGUUUUGUGCCAGGGCAAAGUGAAGCCAUUGUCCUUGUGGUAGGACUCUGCAAAAAACCCAUAAUCAGACCAGCUGGAAAACAUCAACACUUUAAGCAACAUGAGUGCAAGAUGUCUGAAAGCAAUGCUGUCGGUGCCCUUUAAUUUUCAUCCACACCAUGAUUGAAUUCCCUGAGGUUUUUUUAUCCAGAAGCAGAAGUAUGUCAGAGAAUGGAAUAUGAUGGCAGGGGAAACCCAUGUUGUAUGGAUUUUUAUUAUUUUCAUAUCUCUUUUAAGAAAGGACCUUCUUCCAGACCCCAAAAGACAAACAGCUGCUGGAGGUCAAGGCACCUCCACAGUCCUUGGAGGACUGCCUAUCCUCUAGGAAAGGACAUCAGCUAACAAAUCCUUCUGCCUGAACAGAGUCCUGCUCAGGCAUGUACAACAUUCUUCUCACACACACACACCUCCCGAAUCUUCACAUACCAUGACAACUUAAAGUAUGUUACUAUUUCAGGGUUAUCACUCCUCUGGUAUCUGAUUCUGACACAAUGCUGCUAUCACCAGCUUCUGAAACAAGGGUGUCCUGGGGAUGGCUGAGUCUGGCCUGAUAUCAGUGUUGAAGAGUCUGUUGGCAUCAUAACACACAUUUUUAGAAGAAAACUGUUUUCUCCUUCUUCUUUACAUCAUCUCAGGCUUGCUCAAUGCUUUGAAGGAUACCGAUAUGGCUUCAUCCUUGAAGAGCCGAAGCUUCUGUGGUCCUAGAUCUUUGAGAGUCUACAUAAGUAUCAGCAGAUUCUUCCUUAUCCAGUAUUGACAGACUGUGGCCACCCACAUGAGAGCCCAUGGAGACUUUCAGGUAAGCACCAGAGCUACAAUCCAAGCAACUUUCAGAAGUUUCAGCAAGCUCCAGCAGGGGACACAGUAGAGGCAGCCUUGGCCACUUCAGGAAAGCAGAGCAAAACAGAACGUGCUGCAUCAAAAAUAAGAGUGUUUGUUUUAUUAUCCUCACUUCCUUGGCUUUUUUUUCCUGCUAUAAAAUCAUCAUGUGUUUGUACAAUAUUCUUAUUCUGGGAAUGUAUUUCAGUCCACAUAAACAUCUGCACUUAGUUAUGUUAGCCAGUAUCCAAAUCCCAGCAAGAUCCUGCCCUGAUUAUUUAGCUCUGACUGUUUUUGCCAGCUUCUAUUCCCAGAAUACACCGGAUUUAUGGCUAUGUCCAACCUCCAGCUUUGCUAGUUAGAAGAUUGUAACACACAUGCUCAAACUGAACGUCUGUUAUACUGGGACAAAGUCUUUCCAGCAGGCUCAAGUAACUAGCUGUUAAAUUGUGCUAGCAUACAUUAGCAGCAGGAAACUGAACUAUUGCUGGAUGCCAUUUCUUGGUCUGUAUUUUUAAUCAUACUGUUUUGACCUACAUCUUUUGUCUGCUUUCCUUGAUAUCCAACCAUAAAAUACAACCCUUGAUUCAAAUACCAAUAAAACCUGUUGUUGCAAUUUUGCAUAACUCAGUGCAAAAGAACCCAGAUCUCAAGUAAAUAAACUGGUAAAUCAAUUUUUUGGGACCACUAUGUGUUUUUGUCUGCUGCCCUGCAGAGCUAGAUCCAAAGCAUUAAUCAAAAAGAGAUAUAUACAAUUUCAUCUGAGAAGACAAACAAAAACAUGCAGGAUAUAAAUCAAAACAAGAACUUGCAAAAGAAUAGAGUAAGCACUUACUAAGCCAAAAACAUAUUGUUCUUGUGAAGAAGCCUGCUCUGACCACUGUGCUUUCUCCAAAUGUACGUUUAUGGAAUUCCAGGCCAGAACAUUUUUGGAGCAGAGACAUGAAGCAUUCACUCCCCGCAAAGUUCACUGUGAUCUGCCUAAUUCUCAUGGAGCUGAACUUCACCACAGCUGAGCACAAGAUUACCUUUCAAUGCAGCUCCUAGACAACUAUUCUCUGAUGGAUAUUUCUUUGAAGACUUAUUUUACAUGACUGACAACUGCUUCGGACUGUGAAUAUGCUAAUACAUAAAUAACCUGACCUCCUACUCUACCCCUCCCUCACAAGAUACGAUUUGAAAACAAAGUUUACGCCUUUCUUUGAGCCAGAAAGCUGGUUUGGAAUACAAUUUCUUUGUAUCUGGUUUGGAUCUCUCAGCUGAUGCUAAAAUGCACCUACUUUGCUUUGGUGUGUGAAAACACACACACUACAGAAAUAAA